AACAACCUCAACAACACAUACAAAUUUAGGUCAGAUUUUCGACAUCUUUUGUUCUUCAGUUUUCAUUAUCAAAAAAACGGUCCAAAACAGUAUCAUUACUGGUUGUUAAUGCCGUAUUAUCAAAAUUUAUUAAUAUUGAAGAUGUCAGAGCUAUUUGGUAUGAGUCAGCAGCCGCAAGACUUUUCACAGUUCAUGCUGACAGCAAGUACUAUUGGUGGUUGAGUUCCAGAUGGAUCGAGCAACUGUUGAUAACAUGAACAAGGAGAGCAAAUAAGUAUAUUUAGAUUGAGGAUGUGGUUGUUAUUGGUUUGAAUCAGCUGCCACAAGACUUCACAUUCGUGCUAGCAACAAUUGCUAUUGGUGGAGGAGGCUCAGAUGGAUCAAGCAAUGGGAGAUUGCACAGACAAGAGCGAGCCUAUAGAAGUUUAUCAUUUUCAUUCAGCCGCUACAACUGCUAUUGAUCUAGAUUCUUUAGUUAAGAAAGGAAGGAGCUGAUGCUGAUGGAAUAUCAAUUAUCAUCAAAACUAAGAGCUAAACCCAUAAGGUCAUACAGCAAGACUGAUGGAAAUCGAUUUGAACAAGAGGAAAGAAGAAAAAUGCUUCAAGAAUCAAAAUUGGACCUACUGAAAGCCCAGUACUCAUAAGCAGUAUGAGGAUUAUCUGCAGUAGCAGCACCAGCAGUAGUACCAGCACCACAGGAUGAAUGAAGAUACUCUGAAAUAACAAGAGGAGUCUGUAGAAGCCAUGAGGAAAAAUUGCCAUUAGUUUUGUAAAUUUAUUUAUUAAAUGGAGCCUAAAUUAAA